UACAGAGACUGCAAGCGUUAUUCGGAUUCACUGGGCGUAAAGGGUGCGCAGGCGGCCAAGUGUGUUAGGCGUGAAAGCCCGGGGCUUAACCCCGGAAUUGCACCUAAAACUACAUGGCUAGAGCAUUGGAGAGGGUAGCGGAAUUCACGGUGUAGCAGUGAAAUGCGUAGAUAUCGUGAGGAACACCAGAGGCGAAGGCGGCUACCUGGACAAUUGCUGACGCUCAGGCACGGAAAGCGUGGGGAGCAAAAGGG
rnacentral:rRNA from 1 species